rnacentral:snRNA from 1 species
AGCUUUGCGCAGUGGCAGUAUCGUAGCCAAUGAGGUUUAUCCGAGGCGCAAUUAUUGCUAAUUGAAAAACUAACUGAUGGGGC